rnacentral:rRNA from 1 species
UACAGAGGUCUCAAGCGUUGUUCGGAUUCAUUGGGCGUAAAGCGCGCGUAGGCGGAUCUGCAAGUCGGGGGUGAAAUCCCGAGGCUCAACCUCGGAACUGCCUUCGAUACUGCGGGUCUCGAGUCCGGGAGAGGUGAGUGGAAUUCCUAGUGUAGAGGUGAAAUUCGUAGAUAUUAGGAAGAACACCAGUGGCGAAGGCGGCUCACUGGCCCGGUACUGACGCUGAGGCGGCGAAAAGCGUGGGGAGCAAACAGG